rnacentral:rRNA from 1 species
ACGUCCAUACCAUGCUGAAUAUACCGGUUCUCGUUAGAUCACCGAAGUCAAGCAUCACUGGGAGCGGUCAGUACUUGGUUGGGUGACCACCUGGGAACACCGCGUGCCGUU